UAUGAGAGUUUGAUCCUGGCUCAGGACGAACGCUGGCGGCGUGCCUAAUACAUGCAAGUCGAACGCUUUUUCUUUCACCGGAGCUUGCUCCACCGAAAGAAAAAGAGUGGCGAACGGGUGAGUAACACGUGGGUAACCUGCCCAUCAGAAGGGGAUAACACUUGGAAACAGGUGCUAAUACCGUAUAACACUAUUUUCCGCAUGGAAGAAAGUUGAAAGGCGCUUUUGCGUCACUGAUGGAUGGACCCGCGGUGCAUUAGCUAGUUGGUGAGGUAACGGCUCACCAAGGCAACGAUGCAUAGCCGACCUGAGAGGGUGAUCGGCCACACUGGGACUGAGACACGGCCCAGACUCCUACGGGAGGCAGCAGUAGGGAAUCUUCGGCAAUGGACGAAAGUCUGACCGAGCAACGCCGCGUGAGUGAAGAAGGUUUUCGGAUCGUAAAACUCUGUUGUUAGAGAAGAACAAGGAUGAGAGUAAAAUGUUCAUCCCUUGACGGUAUCUAACCAGAAAGCCACGGCUAACUACGUGCCAGCAGCCGCGGUAAUACGUAGGUGGCAAGCGUUGUCCGGAUUUAUUGGGCGUAAAGCGAGCGCAGGCGGUUUCUUAAGUCUGAUGUGAAAGCCCCCGGCUCAACCGGGGAGGGUCAUUGGAAACUGGGAGACUUGAGUGCAGAAGAGGAGAGUGGAAUUCCAUGUGUAGCGGUGAAAUGCGUAGAUAUAUGGAGGAACACCAGUGGCGAAGGCGGCUCUCUGGUCUGUAACUGACGCUGAGGCUCGAAAGCGUGGGGAGCGAACAGGAUUAGAUACCCUGGUAGUCCACGCCGUAAACGAUGAGUGCUAAGUGUUGGAGGGUUUCCGCCCUUCAGUGCUGCAGC
rnacentral:rRNA from 1 species